GCCACAAAUUGAGAACAAUGUUAAACAGAUGGACAAUGAGCCAAUCAAAAUCAAUGAAACCUCAAAUGAAGCCUCAAAUGUGAAACCUCAAAACAAAAAGAAGGCAACAGGCAAGAAGUAAGAGCAUGCUCAGUGAGGACAACUGGACACCAUCCACCCACAGUGGAUGGAGCUUCACAUUAUUUCCUGAAAAACAAUGUCCAGCAACCCAAAUCCGUAACUUCAGCCUCCCCAUGUCCACCAGCAACAGCAACGGUCUUCUGAAAUUAAAA